GGGAAUUUUGCGCAAUGGGGGAAACCCUGACGCAGCAACGCCGCGUGGAGGAUGAAAUCCCUUGGGAUGUAAACUCCUUUCGAUCGGGACGAUUAUGACGGUACCGGAAGAAGAAGCCCCGGCUAACUUCGUGCCAGCAGCCGCGGUAAUACGAGGGGGGCAAGCGUUGUUCGGAAUUAUUGGGCGUAAAGGGCGCGUAGGCGGUUUGACAAGUCUUGUGUGAAAUCUCUGGGCUCAACCCAGAGUCUGCACGGGAAACUGUCGGGCUUGAGUAUGGGAGAGGUGAGUGGAAUUUCCGGUGUAGCGGUGAAAUGCGUAGAUAUCGGAAGGAACACCUGUGGCGAAAGCGGCUCACUGGACCAUAACUGACGCUGAGGCGCGAAAGCUAGGGGAGCAAA
rnacentral:rRNA from 1 species